rnacentral:rRNA from 1 species
AUUGAACGCUGGCGGCAUGCCUAACACAUGCAAGUCGAACGGCAGCACGGCAGUAGCAAUACUGUGGGUGGCGAGUGGCGGACGGGUGAGGAAUACGUCGGAAUCUGCCCAGUCGUGGGGGAUAACUAGCCGAAAGGUUAGCUAAUACCGCAUACGACCGAGAGGUGAAAGCGGGGGACCGCAAGGCUUCGCGCGAUUGGAUGAGCCGACGUCGGAUUAGCUAGUUGGUGGGGUAAAGGCCUACCAAGGCGACGAUCCGUAGCUGGUCUGAGAGGAUGCUCAGCCACACUGGAAAUGAGACACGGUCCAGACUCCUACGGGAGGCAGCAGUGGGGAAUAUUGGACAAUGGGCGCAAGCCUGAUCCAGCAAUGCCGCGUGUGUGAAGAAGGCCUUCGGGUUGUAAAGCACUUGUAUCAGGAACGAAAAGCGAUGGAUUAAUACUCUGUCGUGCUGACGGUACCUGAGGAAUAAGCACCGGCUAACUUCGUGCCAGCAGCCGCAGUAAUAC